AGCCUUGGUGGAUGGGGCAGUUGUUGUUCUAGCUUUUGCUGUGUCCUUUUUGUGUUCUCCUAGGCCCUGCCCGAGUGUCCUUGUAGUGACCCCUAUGUGGGAUGUUGACUGGUUGUUGCGAUGGUCAGUGACAGGUGUGGUGUGGAUGCCUGCUCGUUCUGGCCUGUCCCUUGGUUCUUUUUCGUUCCGUAUGGUGUUGGAGUGUGGGGGCCCUCUUAACAGCUAUCCUUCUGCCAAUCUUUUUGACUGGUCUUCUUGUAGACAGCAUAUUAGAGUAGGAGUGGGGUGCUGGAGGAGGGAGUGGAUGUUGGUCCGGUCGAGGUUCCUGUGGUGCUUGAUCGUGUGGUUUCCAUUUCGCAUCUUCGUGUACUCGCCUUAAAAAGCUUCUGGUAUAUCCAUG
rnacentral:lncRNA from 1 species